CCCACUCAUAAACCUAUCACAGCGAUAAAAAAUUUGAAUAAAACAAAGAAUGGACUUGAAAAUGGAUUCAUACGCCAAUUUCAAUUCAUCACUGUCAUUAGUGUGAUUUUGUUCAGAUGCAUGAGAGUGUGUUAGCAUGCUAGCGGUUAGCCUGCUGCGCUUCACUUACGUUAAUCGCUCCGAAUCGCGAUGCAUCUCCUGAAAGUCACUCCGUCGCGGCAUCCGUGGUAACUCAUCGCGUCCUGACCCGGCUGCACGAGCACAGCUGAGAAAGAGCGUGUUUCAGUGUAAACACUGCAGGUGAGGUCACUUCCGCUGCCGCGCGCACAGCGACACCCGCUGGUCAGCAGGGGAAUUACACCCUCGCUGCUGGGUUUCUAAUGAGUUUCAUGUUUGAAGUCAUGGCUUUGCAACAUUAUUAGUCAGCUGAACCCCUUUGACUUUGAUUAAUUAGUUUAAUUAACUGUAAUCAUUUCUUUAAAGCACCUUUUUCUGAAGUAAAUGUGGUUGCUGUUCAUGCAAACUUCUGGGUGAACACUAGUGCAAUGCUUGCCUAAAUGUUAAUUUUAGAAGACCAGCUGCAGCUGCUUCUGUCACUUCAGAUAAAUGUAUCAGCUCAAACUGGACAGCAGCAGACAUGAGAUGCACAUCUAACCAGAGACACGCAGUAGAUGUGGAAGCUGUAGCCGUGGUCAGAUCAGACACAGAGAUCCACGAGUCUGUCUGUCUGAUGGAUGGCAUCCGUGAAACUGCUCCGUCAAGGAACUGGAGAAAAAGAGGAGCAGAAAGCAUGUGGAUGAAGAGUGGCCCAACCUUUACCUGGCUGCUGCUAUGUCUGUGGCCAGUGAUGGGUUCAGUGUGUGGAAGCUGGGCAUCACUCGUGUCCCGAACGCCGCUCAUGGAAAGCUGCACUGCCACGAGUGUUCCGGCUCAACACUCGAUUAUUACAGAGUCCCAGCCGAUGAUUCGCCAUUCGCAUCGGUCUCUGGUUCUGGCUCAUCUCAUGAUACACCAGCAUCUUUCUCUACUGGAGGCUAUCAAAGCGGUCAAACCGCACCGCUGGCUCUUCCCAAACCGCUGCGGGCUCUGGAUGUGACUCCACACCGUACGGAACACAACACACUGUACAUAAACACCAACAACAUUCCAGCAUCACCAGCCUGUGUGAGACUGUCUUUAAUAAAGCGGUUUUACAGCACUGCCAGAAGAACCUUUUCAGUGAACAGUUCUUAAAAGAACCAUUUUUUUUAGUGUGAACAUUUUUCCACUAAAGAUUUACCUUUUGUUCCAUGGAUGUUAAAGGUUCUUUAUGGAACCAUCAAUGACAAUAAAGUGUACGGGAGAGGUUCGCACACCUCAAGUCUCAUGUUUUAGAAGUAAAAUGUAAUAAAUGACUUAAUAAUUUUACAGCUAACUUUAGGUAUUCAAUUACUUGGUAAAAAUUUAGAUAAUUCUGAGAUUUAUUGUGUAUAUAAUAAUAAUCUUUACUGUAAAAUGUGCUUUAACUAAUACUUUUAUAUAGUGAAAAAUAAAAGUCCCUGCAUG
rnacentral:lncRNA from 1 species